AUUGAACGCUGGCGGCAGGCUUAACACAUGCAAGUCGAGCGGGGUGAUGGUGCUUGCACUAUCACUUAGCGGCGGACGGGUGAGUAAUGCUUAGGAAUCUGCCUAUUAGUGGGGGACAACAUCUCGAAAGGGAUGCUAAUACCGCAUACGUCCUACGGGAGAAAGCAGGGGAUCACUUGUGACCUUGCGCUAAUAGAUGAGCCUACGUCGGAUUAGCUAGUUGGUGGGGUGAAGGCCUACCAAGGCGACGAUCUGUAGCGGGUCUGAGAGGAUGAUCCGCCACACUGGGACUGAGACACGGCCCAGACUCCUACGGGAGGCGGCAGUGGGGAAUAUUGGACAAUGGGGGGAACCCUGAUCCAGCCAUGCCGCGUGUGUGAAGAAGGCCUUAUGGUUGUAAAGCACUUUAAGCGAGGAGGAGGCUCUUUUGGUUAAUACCCAAGAUGAGUGGACGUUAUUCGCAGAAUAAGCACCGGCUAACUCUGUGCCAGCCGCCGCCGUAA
rnacentral:rRNA from 1 species